rnacentral:lncRNA from 1 species
AUUGAUCUCCAUGGAGACCGUUGCUACUUCCGUUAUUCACAAACGACGCCAUUUUGGUUGUUGCUCCUGCACUUUCUUUCCACGUCUGUGUUUGCAUUUUGCUCUUUAUCCCGCACGUAUCGCACGUUCUUCACGAUGUAUGCCACUGUUGCUUUGGUUUAUCAUCAAGUUCAGAUAUAUCAAUCGUGGGAGGGAUACAGACAAGUACUGGAUUCUAGAGCCACGAUGUGACAGACAAUGCCGAGCGAGGGAUGUUUCACAGCCGCUAUCGUAUCUCGCGAUCUCGAGAUCAUUUACAAGAUUUUUCAGUUCAGUGAUUACAUAAUAAACUCGUUAUUGAACUUUA